ensembl:lncRNA
ACAAUGAAACUGUCCUGAAAUGCUCCCUGCUCCCAGCAAGCAGUGUGACAACUUAUGUCUUAGCAGUGUUAAAUUUUCUGCUUCUAAGGCUGUUUUUCACUCCUUACUUCCUUAUUUUUGGGAGAACUGCAAGUAGGAAACCAUUUCCCUCAAGAAGAGAAUCAGUGUUUGUGAUGUUUUCUCCUUUUUUGUUUCUCCGUGUUUUUCAUGAUGAAAUCAAUGCCAUCAUCUGAUGCCAAUCACAUUAGUGCUAAAGAUUCUGCUGUGCAUUCCACGUGCCCUGUACAUCACACACAAGGGGAGCGUGUGGCUCUACUUAUUAACCUCAUUAAUGGAGAAGAGUGGAAAGCUAGCCUUGCAGGUGACACAAGUGCAGAUGGCCAGCCCCUACUGAAUUUGCUGCCAGGCUGUUCACAAGCACCUCAUUCUUGCACUUCAUGCCUGCAACUUGCUGGCAGGAGUUGGGAGAUACCUUUGAGACUUCCAAGAAAUCAAAAAUCAUCUUGAAAUCUACUUGCUCACUGAAAGGUGGUGAUGCAUGUGCUGUAAUUCCUCUAGCUCAAAUGAAGCUCAGAAGGCUGGGAUCCUCAUGUGGUGAGAUAGAAGAGAGAGAGAUGCACAAACACAGUCCUCCCUCGAUGCUGUCUUGCCAUGAGCUGAGAUUUAAGCCAGGGUUUAGAGGUUAAUAGAAAGUAUGAUGGGGUACACUUUUGCCUU